rnacentral:snoRNA from 12 species
AGCCUUUGUGUUGCCCAUUCACUUUUGGAAACUAGUGAAUGUGGUGUCAAAAAAGGCAUAAACUACACACUUUGCAACCCUUUCCUGCCCUUGAAUUUGAUGUCUUUGGUGGAGGAGCUGUGUAAGUAACAGUU